rnacentral:misc_RNA from 1 species
AAGACUAUAGACCUGCGGAGUACCUGCGGAAGGAUCAUUAACGAUUUCGGUGUAAAAAACCGUUUUCUACCUAUGUCUACGCGUACCACUUGUUUCCUCGGGGGGCUUGCCCCCCGCUAGGACCCUUUAUCAAACCUUUUUGUAAUAGCAGUCAGCGUCUGAUACUACGUUAAUUAUUAAAACUUUUAGCAACGGAUCUCU